rnacentral:lncRNA from 1 species
CCUCUUUAAGUUUUUAUUUGCUCAAAUGUCUACCAAUCCUUACUAUCACCAAUUGUGACCAAACAAGCAGAUUAUCACAAAUGGAUCAAAAAUGAGAUUUCAAUGCUAAAUUUGUAUUUUUAUAACAAACCUCAAAUUAAAACAAUCCUAACUACCAAUAUUGAACCACCAAGAACACUAAACAGGAUUGAACAUGAUAUCUUAAUACAACUAAAAUUAAACUCAGGAAAACUAACCUAAUUGGAAUUCUGUGAUCUAACCCUAAUCUUGAAC